rnacentral:rRNA from 1 species
AUUGAACGCUGGCGGCAGGCCUAACACAUGCAAGUCGAGCGGGGUUUUCGGACCUAGCGGCGGACGGGUGAGUAAUGCGUAGGAAGCUACCCGAUAGAGGGGGAUACCAGUUGGAAACGACUGUUAAUACCGCAUAAUGUCUACGGACCAAAGUGUGGGACCUUCGGGCCACAUGCUAUCGGAUGCGCCUACGUGGGAUUAGCUAGUUGGUGAGGUAAUGGCUCACCAAGGCGACGAUCCCUAGCUGGUUUGAGAGGAUGAUCAGCCACACUGGAACUGAGACACGGUCCAGACUCCUACGGGAGGCAGCAGUGGGGAAUAUUGGACAAUGGGCGCAAGCCUGGUCCAGCCAUGCCGCGUGUGUGAAGAAGGCCUUCGGGUUGUAAAGCACUUUCAGUAGGGAGGAAGCGUUGUGUGUUAAUAGUACACAGCGUUGACGUUACCUACAGAAGAAGCACCAGCUAACUCUGUGCCAGCCGCCGCAGUAAUAC